AAUCUAGAGUAAGAGUCAUAAUACUUAGGAUUAGUAUAAGAGUUGCCGUUAAAAUUCCGCCGGCGACAAGGAGAAACUCUGAUCCGUUCAAAUAAACAAUCCUGAGGCCUCAAAACCUCAGUACCCAUAUCUUCUUCUUCUUCUUCUUUUGAUUUAACUUAAGAGAGACAGAAAAUAGAAAACAAAUUAAGAAAUGAAAAAAAUAAAAUAAAAUAAAACAAAAAAAAUAAUUAGAAUUUCCUCUGGCCUCUUUCUUCCUCACAUGGGUGAGGAAAGGAGGGAAGAGGAAAGGAUGAUGACGAAGAAGAAGAAGAAGAAGAUGAUGAAGAGAAAAGUUGGUGUGGUGUUUACAAGGCCUGUAAGGUUUGCUGUGAUGAUACAAGAGCUGUGGUGUGGCUAGAAACGAGGGAUGAUGGGGCUAAAUAUGACAG
rnacentral:misc_RNA from 1 species